UGGCUCCCUCCUAAUGCAGAGAUUACAGGUAUGCACCAAAACACUCAGCAGUUGGUAUAUUUAGAUUCCUACUUAAGCAAAAAACAUGUAGUUCUAGAAUGAAUUAGGAAAAUACUUAAAUAAAUUUCCUAAAAGGUAUUGAGUAUCUCCAUGUUAAAAUAGUAAUAAUUACAUAGUAUUUUUGCCUAAGACAAGAAUGAU